GACGAAGGGUGCAAGCGUUAUCCGGAAUCAUUGGGUUUAAAGGGCGCGUAGGCGGAUUGGUAAGUCAGUGGUGAAAUCUUUGGGCUUAACCCAGAAACUGCCAUUGAUACUGCUGAUCUAGAGUACAGUUGCCGUUGGCGGAAUAUGACAUGUAGUGGUGAAAUACUUAGAUAUGUCAUAGAACACCGAUUGCGAAGGCAGCUAACGAAGCUGUAACUGACGCUGAGGCUCGAAAGUGCGGGGAUCAAACAGG
rnacentral:rRNA from 1 species